rnacentral:rRNA from 1 species
UACGGAGGAUGCAAGCGUUAUCCGGAAUGAUUGGGCGUAAAGCGUCCGCAGGUGGCAGUUCAAGUCUGCUGUCAAAGACCGGGGCUUAACUUCGGAAAGGCAGUGGAAACUGAACAGCUAGAGUAUGGUAGGGGCAGAGGGAAUUCCUGGUGUAGCGGUGAAGUGCGUAGAGAUCAGGAAGAACAUCGGUGGCGAAGGCGCUCUGCUGGACCAUAACUGACACUCAGGGACGAAAGCUAGGGGAGCGAAUGGG